rnacentral:rRNA from 1 species
CAGUCGCCACGGGAAUACGUAGGGUGCAAGCGUUAAUCGGAAUUACUGGGCGUAAGGCGUGCGCAGGCGGCUAUGCAAGACAGAUGUGAAAUCCCCGGGCUCAACCUGGGACCUGCAUUUGUGACUGUAUAGCUAGAGUACGGUAGAGGGGGAUGGAAUUCCGCGUGUAGCAGUGAAAUGCGUAGAUAUGCGGAGGAACACCGAUGGCGAAGGCAAUCCCCUGACCUGUACUGACGCUCAUGCACGAAAGCGUGGGGAGCAAACAGGAUUAGAUACCCCUGUAGUCCCUGUCUCUUAUACC